GAGUUUGAUCCUGGCUCAGAUUGAACGCUGGCGGCAUGCCUUACACAUGCAAGUCGAACGGCAGCACGGGAGCAAUCCUGGUGGCGAGUGGCGAACGGGUGAGUAAUACAUCGGAACGUGCCCAAUCGUGGGGGAUAACGCAGCGAAAGCUGUGCUAAUACCGCAUACGAUCUACGGAUGAAAGCAGGGGACCGCAAGGCCUUGCGCGAAUGGAGCGGCCGAUGGCAGAUUAGGUAGUUGGUGAGGUAAAGGCUCACCAAGCCUUCGAUCUGUAGCUGGUNUGAGAGGACGACCAGCCACACUGGGACUGAGACACGGCCCAGACUCCUACGGGAGGCAGCAGA
rnacentral:rRNA from 1 species